rnacentral:ncRNA from 1 species
GUAUGCUUGCGCCAUGAACCGCUUCCUGUCCGCCCUCCGACGCCGCUCGCCGCUCCUCAUGGAUGCCGCAGGCUCGUCACGGACGCACGCGUAACCCCCUCCUCGUUACGCCAAGCUGUUCGGACCACCAAGCCACGGCAUUCCGUGGCUUUUUU